GACGAACGCUGGCGGCGUGCUUAAUACAUGCAAGUCGAGCGAGGUUACUGUUUUGGAUCCCUUUGGGGUGAAGAAGCUUUAACCUAGCGGCGGACGGGUGAGUAACGCGUGGGUAACCUACCCCAAAGUCCGGGAUAACAGCGGGAAACCGCUGCUAAUACCGGAUGCCUUUACCUUGGGGCAUCUUGAGGUAAAGAAAGGUAACGCUUUGGGAUGGGCCCGCGUCCCAUUAGCUAGUUGGUGAGGUAACGGCUCACCAAGGCGACGAUGGGUAGCCGGCCUGAGAGGGUGGACGGCCACACUGGGACUGAGACACGGCCCAGACUCCUACGGGAGGCAGCAGUAGGGAAUAUUGCGCAAUGGACGGAAGUCUGACGCAGCGACGCCGCGUGAGCGAUGAAGGUCUUCGGAUCGUAAAGCUCUGUCCUUGGGGAAGAAGGCGAAAGCUUGACGGUACCCAAGAAGAAAGCCCCGGCUAACUACGUGCCAGCCGCCGCGGUAACUACCACAUAGUAGU
rnacentral:rRNA from 1 species